GACCUCAGAUCAGGCAAGACUACCCG
rnacentral:rRNA from 1 species